rnacentral:rRNA from 1 species
AAGUCGAACGGUAACAGGAAGCAGCUUGCUGCUUCGCUGACGAGUGGCGGACGGGUGAGUAAUGUCUGGGAAACUGCCUGAUGGAGGGGGAUAACUACUGGAAACGGUGGCUAAUACCGCAUAACGUCGCAAGACCAAAGAGGGGGACCUUCGGGCCUCUUGCCAUCAGAUGUGCCCAGAUGGGAUUAGCUAGUUGGUGAGGUAACGGCUCACCAAGGCGACGAUCCCUAGCUGGUCUGAGAGGAUGACCAGCCACACUGGAACUGAGACACGGUCCAGACUCCUACGGGAGGCAGCAGUGGGGAAUAUUGCACAAUGGGCGCAAGCCUGAUGCAGCCAUGCCGCGUGUAUGAAGAAGGCCUUCGGGUUGUAAAGUACUUUCAGCGGGGAGGAAGGUGUUGUGGUUAAUAACCGCAG